rnacentral:rRNA from 1 species
GUGGAUUAGUGGCGAACGGGUGAGUAACACGUGAGUAACCUGCCCUUAACUCUGGGAUAAGCCUGGGAAACUGGGUCUAAUACCGGAUAUGACUCCUCAUCGCAUGGUGGGGGGUGGAAAGCUUUUUGUGGUUUUGGAUGGACUCGCGGCCUAUCAGCUUGUUGGUGAGGUAAUGGCUCACCAAGGCGACGACGGGUAGCCGGCCUGAGAGGGUGACCGGCCACACUGGGACUGAGACACGGCCCAGACUCCUACGGGAGGCAGCAGUGGGGAAUAUUGCACAAUGGGCGAAAGCCUGAUGCAGCGACGCCGCGUGAGGGAUGACGGCCUUCGGGUUGUAAACCUCUUUCAGUAGGGAAGAAGCGAAAGUGACGGUACCUGCAGAAGAAGCGCCGGCUAACUACGUGCCAGCAGCCGCGGUAAUACGUAGGGCGCAAGCGUUAUCCGGAAUUAUUGGGCGUAAAGAGCUCGUAGGCGGUUUGUCGCGUCUGCCGUGAAAGUCCGGGGCUCAACUCCGGAUCUGCGGUGGGUACGGGCAGACUAGAGUGAUGUAGGGGAGACUGGAAUUCCUGGUGUAGCGGUGAAAUGCGCAGAUAUCAGGAGGAACACCGAUGGCGAAGGCAGGUCUCUGGGCAUUAACUGACGCUGAGGAGCGAAAGCAUGGGGAGCGAACAGGAUUAGAUACCCUGGUAGUCCAUGCCGUAAACGUUGGGCACUAGGUGUGGGGGGACAUUCCACGUUUUCCGCGCC